GUUGGAGCUAAACGCUGCAGGGACAGCAGCCUUCCAUGACCGAGUUUGCCCAUGCCUGCUAUAGCGGCUCUUUAAUAAGGGACUUUAGGCUAAUUAAAAGUUUCACUUGUAUCACACUCCCACACAUGAGCACAUAGAACAAAUGGUUACUCCACUCCAGAUGAAAUUUCUAACCCUGCAGCAACACAACUACAGCUCAGAAGAUAUGUGGUUCUAGGAAGAAAAAGCUGUAAUUUGCAAUGAAUAAUCACAGAUGAAAUCUUUUCAUGAUCAUUCUGAUACCAAAGAGAGCCAGAAAUGUCGCUGAUGCCGUCAAUAUAAAUAUAUAAAGACCAGGGAAAGCAGAGAACUGGGGAGAUAAAAAGAAGAAAGAGAAUGAGAAGAGGAAGAGAGUCUGUGUUUAGAGAUUAGAAAGAAGCCUGGUGUCAGACGGAUACACAACAGAAUUAAACUGCAGAAUUAAGAUUUUAUGUUCAGUUUCUACUGAUGUUGUUGUGUGGUGGGUUCAUUCUGGACUAACUGAUGUGUAUUUUGUGCCAGUUUCAUUACGCUGUGGAUAAUUUGAUUGCAUUUUCAAUGUUUGUUUGCCUUACUAAAGCUUGUGUGUUGUACCAACAAGGGCUACCAUAGUAAAUAAAAAUGCCUUUAAUUUUAA